GGGAGGGGUGUUUGCGCAGGCGCGCACCGUGGACGCGGGCACCUAGGCAGUCUUCGGGUUACCUCGUGGUUACGUCACCAUCUCUGAUAAACACCGACAAUGCAGUAUUUACCCACAAGUAAAGUUCCCUGUAUGCUGCAUCUACUUUUAUGAUGAUGAAUCUUAGCCAAUCUAUGAGAGCAAAGAGAAGCCAGAUCUUCCUUUGACCGAAAAGAGGGGCCU